rnacentral:misc_RNA from 1 species
ACGAGUUUUAAUUGUUAGGUUAGAGUUGAGCUGGUUAAUCUAAUUAAUAUGUGCUUACUCUAAUCGAAACAAGUCCACUCAUUACUUAACACUUGUGAACUUAUUCAUUACAAACAUUAUUAUUUGUUAUUGGAACGUUUGAUUAUUAAAAAGUUAAUACAACUUUCAACAACGGAUCUCUUGGCUCUCGCAUCGAUGAAGAACGCAGCGAAAUGCGAUAAGUAAUGUGAAUUGCAGAAUUCAGUGAAUCAUCGAAUCUUUGAACGCACCUUGCGCUCCCUGGUAUUCCGGGGAGCAUGCCUGUUUGAGUGUCGUGAAGUUGUCAUGGUCAUGAUCUUUAAUUAAUCAUGGCUUGGAUUUGGAGGUUUAUGUUGGCUUUCUUAAGUUGACUCCUCUUAAAUGUAUUAGCUCGGUGUCUUAAUACUUAGAGCAGUUCACGGUGUGAUAAUUAUCUACACUUCAACUAAUCUAAGUUAAGCCGGCUUCUAAUAGAUCCUUGGAUGAUCACUUUGUGAAUUUGACCUCAAAUCAGGUAGGACUACCCGCUGAACUUAAGCAUAUCAAUAAGCGGAGAUCGCGUACUUGGUCAUUUAGAGGAAGUAAAAGUCGUAACAAGGUUUCCGUAGGUGAACCUGCGGAAGGAUCAUUAGUGAACGCCCUCACGGGCUUAUACUAUUCCAAACCUCUGUGAACCGUGCCCUUCGGGGCUAUUUUACAAACAUGGUGUAAUGAACGUCAUAUAUCAUAACAAAACA